GGGGCCGAUUUAGGAUUCGACAAGAUUCGCGAAACCCAAGGUGCAUGCCCAGGGGCGGUUGGCCUGGUAAAAAGCCGCAAAACCAUAAUUGCAAACGACGAAACGUUCGCACUAGCAGCUUAAUGCUAGCCAUCCUCUCAUAGACUCGCCUAUUGUCUAGAGAUGCCGAUGGUCACCCCAAGUAGGCUAGCGAGGGAAGCACGCUUGAGGCUGAACCGCGAAAUAGUAUCAAGCUCACCAUGACGAAGCCUGUCGAUUGGCGUCUAAUUGGCUAAAUAAAAAAUCGACUAAGCAUGUAGGACCGAGGAUGUAGGUUUUUUGGACGGGGGUUCAACUCCCCCCGGCUCCACCA
rnacentral:tmRNA from 1 species